rnacentral:rRNA from 1 species
ACGGAAGGCAGCAGUGGGGAAUAUUGCACAAUGGGGGAAACCCUGAUGCAGCGACGCCGCGUGAGUGAAGAAGUAUUUCGGUAUGUAAAGCUCUAUCAGCAGGAAAGAAAAUGACGGUACCUGACUAAGAAGCCCCGGCUAACUACGUGCCAGCAGCCGCGGUAAUACGUAGGGGGCAAGCGUUAUCCGGAUUUACUGGGUGUAAAGGGAGCGUAGACGGCUUUGCAAGUCUGAAGUGAAAGCCCGGGGCUCAACCCCGGAACUGCUUUGGAAACUGUAGAGCUAGAGGGCAGGAGAGGUAAGUGGAAUUCCUAGUGUAGCGGUGAAAUGCGUAGAUAUUAGGAGGAACACCAGUGGCGAAGGCGGCUUACUGGACUGUAACUGACGUUGAGGCUCGAAGGCGUGGGGAGCAAACAGGAUUAGAUACCCUGGUA